GGGCAAUCUGAGCUUACGCUCUAUACCCUUUGUGACAUACCUAUAACUGUUGCUUCGGCGGGUAGGGUCUCCGCGACCCUCCCGGCCUCCCGCCUCCGGGCGGGUCGGCGCCCGCCGGAGGAUAACCAAACUCUGAUUUAACGACGUUUCUUCUGAGUGGUACAAGCAAAUAAUCAAAACUUUUAACAACGGAUCUCUUGGUUCUGGCAUCGAUGAAGAACGCAGCGAAAUGCGAUAAGUAAUGUGAAUUGCAGAAUUCAGUGAAUCAUCGAAUCUUUGAACGCACAUUGCGCCCGCCAGCAUUCUGGCGGGCAUGCCUGUUCGAGCGUCAUUUCAACCCUCAAGCUCUGCUUGGUGUUGGGGCCCUACAGCUGAUGUAGGCCCUCAAAGGUAGUGGCGGACCCUCCCGGAGCCUCCUUUGCGUAGUAACUUUACGUCUCGCACUGGGAUCCGGAGGGACUCUUGCCGUAAAACCCCCCAAUUUUCCAAAGGUUGACCUCGGAUCAGGUAGGAAUACCCGCUGAACUUAAGCAUAUCAAAAGGCCGGAGGAA
rnacentral:rRNA from 1 species